rnacentral:rRNA from 1 species
CCCUGAUUUAGCGGCGGACGGGUGAGUAAUGCCUAGGAAUCUGCCUGGUAGUGGGGGAUAACGUUCCGAAAGGAACGCUAAUACCGCAUACGUCCUACGGGAGAAAGCAGGGGACCUUCGGGCCUUGCGCUAUCAGAUGAGCCUAGGUCGGAUUAGCUAGUUGGUGAGGUAAUGGCUCACCAAGGCGACGAUCCGUAACUGGUCUGAGAGGAUGAUCAGUCACACUGGAACUGAGACACGGUCCAGACUCCUACGGGAGGCAGCAGUGGGGAAUAUUGGACAAUGGGCGAAAGCCUGAUCCAGCCAUGCCGCGUGUGUGAAGAAGGUCUUCGGAUUGUAAAGCACUUUAAGUUGGGAGGAAGGGCAGUAAGCUAAUACCUUGCUGUUUUGACGUUACCGACAGAAUAAGCAC